rfam:Ornithorhynchus anatinus chromosome 1, whole genome shotgun sequence.
AGCAGCGUGGCUCAGUGGAAAGAGCCUGGGCUUUGGAGUCAGGGGUCAUGGGUUCGACUCCCGGCUCUGCCA